rnacentral:rRNA from 1 species
CGUGUAGGCGGCUCGGUAAGUCCGCUGUGAAAGUCCAGGGCUCAACCCUGGAAUGCCGGUGGAAACUGUCGAGCUAGAGUCCGGAAGAGGCGAGUGGAAUUCCUGGUGUAGCGGUGAAAUGCGCAGAUAUCAGGAGGAACACCAAUGGCGAAGGCAGCUCGCUGGGACGGUACUGACGCUGAGACGCGAAAGCGUGGGGAGCAAACA